ensembl:lncRNA
GAGGCCCUGAGUUCAAACCCCAGUGUCACCAAAACAAGAACAACACACACACACGGUUGGGGGCGGGGAGAGAGGGAGAGAGAGAAUAGCUUGGCUUUUGGUCUCUGAAUCUCUUUUAGGGGGAAUGGAGACUGCCAGAUCUGGAGUCAGAAGGACUAGACCCAGAAUACUAACUUUUCUACUGAGCUGUGUCACCUCGAGGAACUUGCUUGUCCAUCCAUAAAAUGGGUGUAGUAAAGGUGGUACCUCCUCCUUGGGUGGCUGUAGAGUUUUUUUUUUUUUUUUAAUUUCUUUUAUUCAUAUGUGCAUACAAUGUUUGGGUCAUUUCUCUCCCCUUCCCUCUGCCCCCUCCCUUUCCCCCCACCCCUCUCCCAGCUGUAGAGUUAUGUGAGAUGAUGUAUACAAGGCCCAGAGCAAGGGCUCAGCGAAGAGGAGCAGCAGAAUGCUGGCCUGGUCUUCCUCUGCCAAGUGUGGAGCCAUCAGCAGUGUCCAGCCCUUCUAGGCCUGUCUGAAACCCUGCAGGGCCAGCUGUUCUCUUGCAACCUGCCCUGGGAACCAGAGUGCUGCUGUGAACAUUCCCAUUUCUGACUGGAAACACACAGACAGUGAUAUGAACCUAGGAGGGGAAUUGCUGGUUAAGUUGUUUUCCAAAUUGACUGAAGAUCUGUCUUUCAUGCAAGAAUUUGUCUGAACAAAGGGUUCUGCAGCUAAAAUUGGCUUGAACUCCAUGAUCCCUUUUGGCUCUGGAAAUCCUAUUGGAUCUGGAACAACCAUCACUGUGGGAAGAUCUCCAUCAGCGUUUCUGUGUAAACCCUUUCCUGUUUUUGUCUUGAAAGACCCUGUUUGGAAGAGUCAGGUAACAUCUAGAGAAAGCCUCCUGUAUUUGAUGACUCCUAUUUGGAGUGUGUGUGUGUGAGAAAUUAUUGCUACCAUUUUACAGAUCAGAGAACUGAGGCUCACACUGAUUGAGACUCGCCUAUGAUCACAUAGUAAAUAGCAGAGCUAGAGACUGAACUCCAUGCCACCUGGCUCCAGGGACACAGUUUCGUACCACACACUUCCUCGUAGUCUCCACAGUGUGCUCAGAGAUGACACCAUUUAAAAUUUUCCAGACCACAAUUUCCCCUCAAGCAUUCAGGCAAUUGUUUUCCUUCCAGACCCAACUGCUGAGACUCUCCUUGUCUCAUGCCUUUUCUCCAUUUCUCUGAGGUUUGCUAGCUCUUUCCCUGGCUCCUCUGCAGUCUGCAGGAGUUCAUUUUUCUCUCAUCUCUUUCCAGAUAUCAGGAUUUCCAAAUCUUUCAGUUGGUUUCUUUUUUUGGCUGUGGUCCUUUAUUUUUGGAUACUUUCCAAAGCAGCCACAGAUUGGAAGAUGAUAACAGUGAAUUAGUUAGUAGAUCUUCUUUGAUGUUAUUUUGUGGGGGAACUCAUUAAUUUAUGACAAAAACAUCAAAGAGCUGGGCUCCUGCAUGGGACUAGGUUGUCCCAAGGCAUCUGGAUAAUAAUGAUUAGUCAGAUUAAAUCUCAAAGGCCUCUCGGCCUCAAGAGUUACAGUCCAGAUGACUGGGGUGUGGGAACAUCCCACCCUAUAGCAUCCCAUACCAGCUUGAGUCAGCAUGGUAUGGAACUCCCCCCACUCUUCAUGGCUUCCACUUUGAUGCCUCCAAGACUUGAAGUCCAGUAAAGGUUGUUGUAACCACCCUGGGGGCAAGGUAGGGAAGGAGGCUGAAGCUGUUAAAGUCUCUUCUGUCAGUGGAGCCAGAUGUUAAAAUGAAGCCCUUGUCCUUGCAUAGGUGAUCUCAAUGCCUUUUAUAGCAUCCUUGUCCUGUAAUGACAAUGGGAAGACAUUUUCCUGGGCUACACAGGAAAGAGGCAGCACCAUACCUGGCAUUUGGCAAGCCUUCUAUUCAUACAGAUUU